rnacentral:rRNA from 1 species
GAUGAACGCUGGCGGCGUGCCUAACACAUGCAAGUCGAGCGAAAAGACGAGGAGCUUGUGCCUUUGACGUUAGCGGCGGACGGGAGAGUAACGCGUGUAUACCCUACUUAUAUUUCGGGGAAAAUUACGGAAAACCGGAUAUAAUAGCGGAGAAUAUAUUGAACCGUAGGGUUCAUUGGAGAAAGACGGCUUUGGGGUAUGGAAUAGCGGGUUCCGCGCCGGAUUAGCUAGUUGGUAAGGUAACGGCCUAUCAAGGGAACGAUGCGUAGCCGACCUGAGGGGGUGAUCGGCCACACUGGAACUGGGACACGGUCCAGGCUCCUGAGGGAGGCAGCAGUAGGGAAUGUUCGGCAAUGGGCGAAAGCAUGGCGGAGCAACGCCGCGUGAGUGAUGAAGGUCUUCGGAUCGUAAAACUCUGUUAUUAGGGAAGAACAAAUGUGUAAGUAACUGUGCACGUCUUGACGGUAACUAAUCAGAAAGCAACGGCUAACUACGUG